CAAGACAAAGAACAGAGGAGACAAGUAGAGGAGAUGCCAUGCACUGUGAACCCCUUCAUUAAAAGAAAUAAAGAGGAGAGAAGGGAGGAGGCAGCAUGCCCUGUAAGCAGGCAGGCUGAGUGAACCCUCUGAUUUAAAAAGUGAGGACAAGCGGCCCCAGACAUCCUCCUCAUCUGCUGCAGCAGCAGCAUCGUCAGUUUGCUGUCCUGAAGAUCAUCAGGACAAGUGGGAUCCAAACUCAUCUCCAGGGGAGACUGGGACCUGAAUGCAGCCUUCGAA